rnacentral:rRNA from 1 species
AGCGAACGCUGGCGGCAGGCUUAACACAUGCAAGUCGAGCGGGCGUAGCAAUACGUCAGCGGCAGACGGGUGAGUAACGCGUGGGAACAUACCUUUUGGUUCGGAACAACACAGGGAAACUUGUGCUAAUACCGGAUAAGCCCUUACGGGGAAAGAUUUAUCGCCGAAAGAUUGGCCCGCGUCUGAUUAGCUAGUUGGUGAGGUAACGGCUCACCAAGGCGACGAUCAGUAGCNGGUCUGAGAGGAUGAUCAGCCACAUUGGGACUGAGACACGGCCCAAACUCCUACGGGAGGCAGCAGUGGGGAAUAUUGGACAAUGGGCGCAAGCCUGAUCCAGCCAUGCCGCGUGAGUGAUGAAGGCCCUAGGGUUGUAAAGCUCUUUUGUGCGGGAAGAUAAUGACGGUACCGCAAGAAUAAGCCCCGGCUAACUCGUGCCAGCCG